rnacentral:rRNA from 1 species
AACGUAGGUGGCGAGCGUUAUCCGGAUUUACUGGGCGUAAAGGGUGUGCAGGCGGGCUGUUAAGUGGUGUAUGAAAUCGCCGGGCUCAACCGGGCGAGGUUAUGCCAGACUGGCAGUCUAGAGAGCGAGGGAGGGACGUGGAAUUCCGGGUGUAGUGGUGAAAUGCGUAGAGAUCCGGAGGAACCCCAGAGGCGAAGGCGGCGUCCUGGCUCGCAUCUGACGCUCAGACACGACAGCAUGGGGAGCGAACGGG